rnacentral:rRNA from 1 species
UUGGAAAAAGUUGAUCCUUGCUCAGGACGAACGCUGGCGGCGUGCCUAAUACAUGCAAGUCGAGCGGACAGAAGGGAGCUUGCUCCCGGAUGUUAGCGGCGGACGGGUGAGUAACACGUGGGUAACCUGCCUGUAAGACUGGGAUAACUCCGGGAAACCGGAGCUAAUACCGGAUAGUUCCUUGAACCGCAUGGUUCAAGGAUGAAAGACGGUUUCGGCUGUCACUUACAGAUGGACCCGCGGCGCAUUAGCUAGUUGGUGGGGUAAUGGCUCACCAAGGCGACGAUGCGUAGCCGACCUGAGAGGGUGAUCGGCCACACUGGGACUGAGACACGGCCCAGACUCCUACCGGAGCCAGCAGUAGGGAAUCUUCCGCAAUGGACGAAAGUCCUGACGGAGCAACGCCGCGUGAGUGAUGAAGGUUUUCGGAUCGUAAAGCUCUGUUGUUAGGGAAGAACAAGUGCGAGAGUAACUGCUCGCACCUUGACG